rnacentral:lncRNA from 1 species
CACUUUCGAUUGGAUAUUGGCUGGCAAUCAACUGUAGCAUGCUACAGUUGAUUAGAUAGGAUACAGAAAAAUACACAACUAUUAGUUAUUUCUGAAAACUGUAGGCUCAAUAACAAAAAAUGAAUUUCUAUCAAAAGUAUUCUGGUAUAAUCUUAAAAGUUUUUUAAAACUGCUGUCACCAAUAACUGAUGCAAUAAAGUAAACUAAAUCAAAUACUCCCAUGUUAUCUACUGUAUUUAAAACUUUUCACUUCUUGGAAUGCCAUCAACUUCAAGACAGAGUCUAGACUGGAGAACAAAAGGAUAAGAACAAAUCGAAAAUGGCAUCCUACGUCUAAGAAACAUGAGUGGAAUUCUCAAAAUCUAAGCCGAGCGCUAUUGGAGUUUAAUUUGACAAAAAAAACUUGUGCGCUAAGUACGAAGUUUUACGAUUAAGAAAUUAUUGUAAAACACACAAUUUGAAAGCCAAUUAUUUAUAAAUUUUUGAUUAAAUAAAUUACGAAA